AUGAACUGCUCGUCAAGUUCUUUGCAAGCCUGCUAAUGAGCCAUUAAUUUGAGUCUGGUCUGUUAAAGAUGAAUACCUCUAAAACAUACAGGGCAGUGGUCCCCGAGGACCAGGAUUGAGAAACACACCGAUCUUAAAGGGU